rnacentral:rRNA from 1 species
UGGGGAAUAUUGCACAAUGGGCGCAAGCCUGAUGCAGCCAUGCCGCGUGUGUGAAGAAGGCCUUCGGGUUGUAAAGCACUUUCAGCGGGGAGGAAGGCGUUAAGGUUAAUAACCUUGGCGAUUGACGUUACCCGCAGAAGAAGCACCGGCUAACUCCGUGCCAGCAGCCGCGGUAAUACGGAGGGUGCAAGCGUUAAUCGGAAUUACUGGGCGUAAAGCGCACGCAGGCGGUCUGUCAAGUCGGAUGUGAAAUCCCCGGGCUCAACCUGGGAACUGCAUUCGAAACUGGCAGGCUAGGGUCUUGUAGAGGGGGGUAGAAUUCCAGGUGUAGCGGUGAAAUGCGUAGAGAUCUGAAGGAAUACCGGUGGCGAAGGCGGCCCCCUGGACAAAGACUGACGCUCAGGUGCGAAAGCGUGGGGAGCAAACAGG